GUGCUCACUUCAGCAGCACACACAUACUAAAACUGGAAUGAUACAGAGAAGAUUAACAUGGUCCCUGAGCAAGGAUGACAUGUACAUUCUUCAGGUGUCUCAUAUUUUU